GCGGAGGCGGCGGGCCGCCCAGACUUAAGAUCCGCUGCCUCAGGGCUCCGCGGGUUCGAAUCCCGCCCCCCGCA
rnacentral:tRNA from 1 species